UACGUAGGGACCAAGCGUUGUUCGGAUUUACUGGGCGUAAAGGGCGCGUAGGCGGCGUGGUAAGUCACUUGUGAAAUCUCUGAGCUUAACUCAGAACGGCCAAGUGAUACUGCUGUGCUAGAGUGCAGAAGGGGCAAUCGGAAUUCUUGGUGUAGCGGUGAAAUGCGUAGAUAUCAAGAGGAACACCUGAGGUGAAGGCGGCGACCUGGGCCAAUACUGACACUGAGGUGCGAAAGCGUGGGGAGCAAACAGG
rnacentral:rRNA from 1 species